UUUCUUUUAUUUUAAAUUAAUGUAUUUAUUUUAAUUAUUAGGUUUAGAUGUUUUCAAAGAGAAGUAUACUUUAAUUUUAUUAUUUAAUUUUUAAUUAUUCAAUACUAAAACAAAUAAUAUUGAAAAAUAUUAAUGCAUAUAGUUAAUUAGUUAUAGAUGAUAAGUAAAUUUGUAUUCUUCAAUAAUUAUGUUGUCACGCCCCGGAUUACACGUUUUUCCGUGCACGCCGACAAAUCCACCGUAUACAAAGAAAUUUUUUCUAUACACGAAGCGAUAACUGUAUCUGUAACCAAAUUCAAGCUACAACUAGUAGUAUAGAGCUGCUAAACAGAACUGAAAAAUAAAUAAACAUCAGAUUCACUAUACAUACAAAAGCUCUCAGAUACAACACCUCUCGCUCCAGCGAGUAACAAGCAUAAGUAUGUACAUGAAUCAAAAAGCAAAACUACCUGUAGCUGGUACUCCUCUAGUAACCUGGGAAGGGACCUAACUCGCAACUCAAUUACCACGAUCCGAAUCAGCAACAGCAGCAGCCGCAGCCGCAGAAUAAGGCUCUGCAAAAAGGGAUCAACAACUGGGUGUGAGAACUACUGCAAAAAGAAGUAGUCCUCAGUGGGUACCGCUACCGACCUCAAUGACCGACCCACUAAGUCUAUAGAAAAUAUGCUCAAGGAUAGUAAAGGAAGCUAGAAAACUCUACAGUUAUAUGCCACUAUAUUAUCGCUAACCAACACUAGCUAUCUGUAGAUAUAAACAAAU
rnacentral:lncRNA from 1 species